UUUCGGUUCUAUUUUGUUGGUUUUCUGGACUGAAGUAAUGAUUAAUAGGGUCAGUUGGGGACAUUAGAACUUAGGCGUCAGAGGUGAAAUUCUUGGAUUGCCUAAAGACUAACUUCUGCGAAAGCAUUUGUCAAGGAUGUUUUCAUUAAUCAAGAACGAAAGUUAGGGGAUCGAAGACGAUCAGAUACCGUCGUAGUCUUAACCAUAAACUAUGCCGACUAGGGAUCAGGUGGAGUUACUUUAUUGACUCACUUGGCACCUUAUGAGAAAUCAAAGUUUUUGGGUUCCGGGGGGAGUAUGGUCGCAAGGCUGAAACUUAAAGGAAUUGACGGAAGGGCACCACCAGGAGUGGAGCCUGCGGCUUAAUUUGACUCAACACGGGGAAACUCA
rnacentral:rRNA from 1 species